GGUGAAGGAACUAGGCAAAAUGGUGCCGUAACUUCGGGAGAAGGCACGCUGAUAUGUAGGUGAAGCGACUUGCUCGUGGAGCUGAAAUCAGUCGAAGAUACCAGCUGGCUGCAACUGUUUAUUAAAAACACAGCACUGUGCAAACACGAAAGUGGACGUAUACGGUGUGACGCCUGCCCGGUGCCGGAAGGUUAAUUGAUGGGGUUAGCGGCAACGCGAAGCUCUUGAUCGAAGCCCCGGUAAACGGCGGCCGUAACUAUAACGGUCCUAAGGUAGCGAAAUUCCUUGUCGGGUAAGUUCCGACCUGCACGAAUGGCGUAAUGAUGGCCAGGCUGUCUCCACCCGAGACUCAGUGAAAUUGAACUCGCUGUGAAGAUGCAGUGUACCCGCGGCAAGACGGAAAGACCCCGUGAACCUUUACUAUAGCUUGACACUGAACAUUGAGCCUUGAUGUGUAGGAUAGGUGGGAGGCUUUGAAGUGUGGACGCCAGUCUGCAUGGAGCCGACCUUGAAAUACCACCCUUUAAUGUUUGAUGUUCUAACGUUGGCCCGUAAUCCGGGUUGCGGACAGUGUCUGGUGGGUAGUUUGACUGGGGCGGUCUCCUCCUAAAGAGUAACGGAGGAGCACGAAGGUUGGCUAAUCCUGGUCGGACAUCAGGAGGUUAGUGCAAUGGCAUAAGCCAGCUUGACUGCGAGCGUGACGGCGCGAGCAGGUGCGAAAGCAGGUCAUAGUGAUCCGGUGGUUCUGAAUGGAAGGGCCAUCGCUCAACGGAUAAAAGGUACUCCGGGGAUAACAGGCUGAUACCGCCCAAGAGUUCAUAUCGACGGCGGUGUUUGGCACCUCGAUGUCGGCUCAUCACAUCCUGGGGCUGAAGUAGGUCCCAAGGGUAUGGCUGUUCGCCAUUUAAAGUGGUACGCGAGCUGGGUUUAGAACGUCGUGAGACAGUUCGGUCCCUAUCUGCCGUGGGCGCUGGAGAACUGAGGGGGGCUGCUCCUAGUACGAGAGGACCGGAGUGGACGCAUCACUGGUGUUCGGGUUGUCAUGCCAAUGGCACUGCCCGGUAGCUAAAUGCGGAAGAGAUAAGUGCUGAAAGCAUCUAAGCACGAAACUUGCCCCGAGAUGAGUUCUCCCUGAGACUUAGAGUCUCCUGAAGGAACGUUGAAGACGACGACGUUGAUAGGCCGGGUGUGUAAGCGCAGCGAUGCGUUGAGCUAACCGGUACUAAUGAACCGUGAGGCUUAACCUUACAACGCCGAAG
rnacentral:rRNA from 1 species